UAGGGAAUCUUCGGCAAUGGACGAAAGUCUGACCGAGCAACGCCGCGUGAGUGAAGAAGGUUUUCGGAUCGUAAAACUCUGUUGUUAGAGAAGAACAAGGACGUUAGUAACUGAACGUCACCUGACGGUAUCUAACCAGAAAGCCACGGCUAACUACGUGCCAGCAGCCGCGGUAAUACGUAGGUGGCAAGCGUUGUCCGGAUUUAUUGGGCGUAAAGCGAGCGCAGGCGGUUUCUUAAGUCUGAUGUGAAAGCCCCCGGCUCAACCGGGGAGGGUCAUUGGAAACUGGGAGACUUGAGUGCGGAAGAGGAGGAUGGAAUUCCAUGUGUAGCGGUGAAAUGCGUAGAUAUAAGGAGGAACACCGGUGGCGAAGGCGGCUCUCUGGUCUGUAACUGACGCUGAGGCUCGAAAGCGUGGGGAGCAAACAGG
rnacentral:rRNA from 1 species